AGAUACCUGGUUUUUAGAUUCCUCUCCCUUUCAAAUUUUUCUCCAGUUCUUCCUGCUUUCUGCAUCCUCUUCCUGCCUUUCCAUUGUUUUCUCUUUAACAAUCACCCACUAGAAAAUAUGCAGAGGUCGGAGAUAAUAAAGACAUAAAGUCAACUGGCACACCUUCCAAGAAGGCUGAAUUCGGAAAAAGAUGGCUACUUGUCUGUAAAGCCGCAAGUCAAUGAGGAAAAGGCAAACAAGCCAGAAAAAUGGGCAACGAAUCUGGUAAAAGCAAACUGAAAUACAACGGCUAGUAAGUAGAAGGGUCUAGUAGUCAGAAAGACAGUCUCCUGCUGGCUUUGAUGAAAGAAGCAACCAAGAAUGAGUUCUACCGCUGCAAGGAAGUGAAUUCUACCAACAACCACCGGAGCAUGGAAGAGAACCCUGAGGCUUAUAUGAAACUGCAGCCCCUGUCAAAACUGAAUACAGCCUUACAAGACCCUGAGAAGAGAACUAAGUUCUUUCUGCAUUCCUGACCCACAAAAACUCCAAGAUAAUAAAAUGGGCAUCAAGCCACAAAG